rnacentral:rRNA from 1 species
AAUACGUAGGGUGCGAGCGUUGUCCGGAAUUACUGGGCGUAAAGAGCUCGUAGGUGGUUUGUCGCGUUGUUCGUGAAAUCCCGUGGCUUAACUGCGGGCGUGCGGGCGAUACGGGCAGACUGGAGUACUGCAGGGGAGAUUGGAAUUCCUGGUGUAGCGGUGGAAUGCGCAGAUAUCAGGAGGAACACCGGUGGCGAAGGCGGGUCUCUGGGCAGUAACUGACGCUGAGGAGCGAAAGCGUGGGGAGCGAACAG